rnacentral:rRNA from 1 species
AGGACGAACGCUGGCGGCGUGCUUAACACAUGCAAGUCGAACGAGGCCCUACCUUCGGGUAGGUGACCUAGUGGCGAACGGGUGAGUAACACGUGGGCAACCUACCCUCAGCUCUGGGAUAACCCCGGGAAACCGGAGCUAAUACCGGAUAUGACCUUGAACGACAUCGUUCUUGGUGGAAAGUUUUUUCGGCUGAGGAUGGGCCCGCGGCCUAUCAGCUUGGUUGGCGGGUAAUGGCCCACCAAGGCGACGACGGGUAG